UCUUUCAUUGCAUGUCUCAUAUCCCAACUCCUUAUGUUCUUUCAUUCCACAACCUUUCCACGGUUUCUCAAAAACUGUUUCUCUUCCAUCCCAAAAAUCUUCCCUCUCACGAUCGUAUCUCUUUUUCUCUCUUACGUCUUUCUAUGCAACUGAUUCCUUCUCCCUUUCUUCUCUUCUGCCUUCUAACUCUUCUUCAAAAACCUGACACCAAAAUAUGUCGUGAGAGAACAAUGAUGAACAAAUUUGAGUAUUCAAGCGAUUUCAACGAUUUCGGUGGAAACGAGUUUGAGUAUUCAAGAGAUUUCAAUGCUUUGAAUAAUAAACUGAUGAUGACACUGACGAUAGCUAUGUUUGGUUUGGCGGCGAGUUUCAUAAAAUCACGGUAAAAACUUCUUCAAAAUCGCGUCUGGAAGGACUUUGCACGUGCGUUUGGUCGCGGAAAAGCCAAACCAAACAGGCACGAUGACGAUGAUGAGUACGAUAUGGAUGAAGAUGACGACGAUGAGGACGAAUAUAAUGAUGAAGAAUCUGAGGAGGAUGGGACUGAGACCGAAAAAGAAGUCCAUCCUUUAUAAAUUAGCACGACUUCAAUCAGCGGGGAGUAACAAACGGAAUCUCGUCGGAAAAAUGGUUAACGCAAAGUUUCACCAAUACUAGGUCGUCGGAAGGGUUCUUCUCACCGAAACCGAUGAGCACCCGAAAAUUUACUGCAUGAAGCUUUGGGCUACCAAUGAGGUAAAGUGGUCUGGAGUUAGAACACAACAUUCUACUAAUCCCUUUGUUGAUGAUAUGUAUGAGCGGUUGAAAGAGAGCUUGACAGAUUAAGAGAGCUUGACAAAUUACGAGGUUGUCAUUUACCGUUGGCCCGUAAUAUAUAAUGGUUUUAGAAAAUGAAAAGACAAUUGGUUGUGUGGUACCUUUUAAUGUGCAAAAGAGAGUUAAAAUAAGUGCACAAAAAGAGUCAAAGGGUAAGAAACUUUGGUUGAGGAAGAGCCUCACAGGGUUUGUACUUAUUUAUCUCAUUAAUUUUCAAGAAUUUUGUUAGUUGUCAUGCUAUAUUCUUAUUCUAUCUUCCCAAAUAUUGGUACAUCAUGGGAAUCUGGAGUAAGAAGAAGCAGCAGGUUCAAGACAAGGCCUUUGGAAUAUUGGAAAGAGGAAAUAAUGGUGUAUGGUCGUGUACAUGAGAGUUUAAGUACUGUCAUUGCGGUGAAGUGUUUGGUUCUUGGAAGUGAUGGGAAUCAGACUAUGGUGGUGAAAUCAUUUAUGUCAGAUAAAUACAAGAAGCUUUUUGAGAUUUCUUCUAGAUAUUGAGAGUGAGAGAAGAGCUUUAGGUUUAUUGUUUUUUUAGGUGUGUCGUCUUUAGUGUAUAUAUAUCUACAGAAAAUCGCGCGAUUCAUAAUUAGCAUGAUUCAUUGCCACUAUUUGAUGGUUCUACCAAACAAAGGAUGAGCAUCGACGUAUUGAGGACAAAAAGAAACACACAUAGUGAAACAGGAAGAGCAUCCCUAAAUUUAAUCGGACAUGCAUUUGUAGGUGUGGACACUAUGGACAGAAAGAAAGGUCUUGGAUACAGUUGAUCCAACACUGAACCACUCUUAUCCUCCUGCUAUAGUUCUGAGAUGCAUUCAAAUUGGAUUCUUCUUGAUGGAAAUUGGUUAGAGCUUGAGCCGAUUUAGAGAUUGAUGUCAGCAUGGAUCAAGGUGGGAUGUCUUGGAUUCCACACUAUCUUCAUCUUUUGAUGUUUGAGUUACAAAAUCUGCAUUUGGUAUUGAUAAAUUAAGCCAUGGUAAUCAUGGAAUCAACAUAACUUCUACGUCUUUUAAAAAUGGGAUGAGAAAGGGAUCUGAAGGAUUGAAGUCAAUUGGUCGAUCGCUUCAAUUGGUGCUAUCUGGGGCGCGUUUCCAGAAGAUCCCCAAGAAAAAAUGAUACUCUCUUGGAAUUAAUUAUUUGUUAUCUCAUGCAUUUUGUCUGUGUAUGUGGAUCCACUGUUUUUUAUCUCUGUCAUCAAUGAUCAAAUACAAUCAUUGAUGCUUACUAUCUUAUACACAUGCCUCUCCAAUUUCUUACCGCUUAAAUUGUUU